rnacentral:rRNA from 1 species
CAAUAGCGUAUAUUUAAGUUGUUGCAGUUAAAAAGACUCGUAGUUGGAUUUGGUGCGGCAGGCCGGUCCGCCCUUUGGGUGUGCACUGGCAGGCGGCAUCUUUCUGUCGAGGACGCGGUGUUGGGCUUUACUGUCUGGCGCGCGGAGUCGGCGCAAGUUACUUUGAAAAAUUAGAGUGUUCAAAGCGGGCUCACGCUUGAAUAUAUUAGCAUGGAAUAACAUUAUAGGACUCCUGUCCUAUUCUGUUGGUCUUCGGGAUGGGAGUAAUGAUUAAGAGGAUCAGUUGGGGCAUUCGUAUUUCAUUGUCAGAGGUGAAAUUCUUGGAUUUAUGAAAGACGAACUUCUGCGAAAGCAUUUGCCAAGGAUGUUUUCAUUAAUCAAGAACGAAAGUUAGGGGGCUCGAAGACG